UUAAGCGACUAAGCGUACACGGUGGAUGCCCUGGCAGUCAGAGGCGAUGAAGGACGUGCUAAUCUGCGAUAAGCGUCGGUGAGGUGAUAUGAACCGUUAUAACCGGCGAUUUCCGAAUGGGGAAACCCAGUGUGUUUCGACACACUAUCAUUAACUGAAUCCAUAGGUUAAUGAGGCGAACCGGGGGAACUGAAACAUCUAAGUACCCCGAGGAAAAGAAAUCAACCGAGAUUCCCCCAGUAGCGGCGAGCGAACGGGGAGGAGCCCAGAGCCUGAAUCAAUGUGUGUGUUAGUGGAAGCGUCUGGAAAGGCGCGCGAUACAGGGUGACAGCCCCGUACACAAAAAUGCACAUAUUGUGAGCUCGAUGAGUAGGGCGGGACACGUGGUAUCCUGUCUGAAUAUGGGGGGACCAUCCUCCAAGGCUAAAUACUCCUGACUGACCGAUAGUGAACCAGUACCGUGAGGGAAAGGCGAAAAGAACCCCGGCGAGGGGAGUGAAAAAGAACCUGAAACCGUGUACGUACAAGCAGUGGGAGCCUCUUAAUGGGGUGACUGCGUACCUUUUGUAUAAUGGGUCAGCGACUUAUAUUCUGUAGCAAGGUUAACCGAAUAGGGGAGCCGAAGGGAAACCGAGUCUUAACUGGGCGUUAAGUUGCAGGGUAUAGACCCGAAACCCGGUGAUCUAGCCAUGGGCAGGUUGAAGGUUGGGUAACACUAACUGGAGGACCGAACCGACUAAUGUUGAAAAAUUAGCGGAUGACUUGUGGCUGGGGGUGAAAGGCCAAUCAAACCGGGAGAUAGCUGGUUCUCCCCGAAAGCUAUUUAGGUAGCGCCUCGUGAAUUCAUCUCCGGGGGUAGAGCACUGUUUCGGCAAGGGGGUCAUCCCGACUUACCAACCCGAUGCAAACUGCGAAUACCGGAGAAUGUUAUCACGGGAGACACACGGCGGGUGCUAACGUCCGUCGUGAAGAGGGAAACAACCCAGACCGCCAGCUAAGGUCCCAAAGUCAUGGUUAAGUGGGAAACGAUGUGGGAAGGCCCAGACAGCCAGGAUGUUGGCUUAGAAGCAGCCAUCAUUUAAAGAAAGCGUAAUAGCUCACUGGUCGAGUCGGCCUGCGCGGAAGAUGUAACGGGGCUAAACCAUGCACCGAAGCUGCGGCAGCGACACUAUGUGUUGUUGGGUAGGGGAGCGUUCUGUAAGCCUGUGAAGGUGUACUGUGAGGUAUGCUGGAGGUAUCAGAAGUGCGAAUGCUGACAUAAGUAACGAUAAAGCGGGUGAAAAGCCCGCUCGCCGGAAGACCAAGGGUUCCUGUCCAACGUUAAUCGGGGCAGGGUGAGUCGACCCCUAAGGCGAGGCCGAAAGGCGUAGUCGAUGGGAAACAGGUUAAUAUUCCUGUACUUGGUGUUACUGCGAAGGGGGGACGGAGAAGGCUAUGUUGGCCGGGCGACGGUUGUCCCGGUUUAAGCGUGUAGGCUGGUUUUCCAGGCAAAUCCGGAAAAUCAAGGCUGAGGCGUGAUGACGAGGCACUACGGUGCUGAAGCGACAAAUGCCCUGCUUCCAGGAAAAGCCUCUAAGCAUCAGGUAACAUCAAAUCGUACCCCAAACCGACACAGGUGGUCAGGUAGAGAAUACCAAGGCGCUUGAGAGAACUCGGGUGAAGGAACUAGGCAAAAUGGUGCCGUAACUUCGGGAGAAGGCACGCUGAUAUGUAGGUGAAGCGACUUGCUCGUGGAGCUGAAAUCAGUCGAAGAUACCAGCUGGCUGCAACUGUUUAUUAAAAACACAGCACUGUGCAAACACGAAAGUGGACGUAUACGGUGUGACGCCUGCCCGGUGCCGGAAGGUUAAUUGAUGGGGUUAGCGGUAACGCGAAGCUCUUGAUCGAAGCCCCGGUAAACGGCGGCCGUAACUAUAACGGUCCUAAGGUAGCGAAAUUCCUUGUCGGGUAAGUUCCGACCUGCACGAAUGGCGUAAUGAUGGCCAGGCUGUCUCCACCCGAGACUCAGUGAAAUUGAACUCGCUGUGAAGAUGCAGUGUACCCGCGGCAAGACGGAAAGACCCCGUGAACCUUUACUAUAGCUUGACACUGAACAUUGAGCCUUGAUGUGUAGGAUAGGUGGGAGGCUUUGAAGUGUGGACGCCAGUCUGCAUGGAGCCGACCUUGAAAUACCACCCUUUAAUGUUUGAUGUUCUAACGUGGGCCCCUUACCGGGGUUGCGGACAGUGUCUGGUGGGUAGUUUGACUGGGGCGGUCUCCUCCUAAAGAGUAACGGAGGAGCACGAAGGUUGGCUAAUCCUGGUCGGACAUCAGGAGGUUAGUGCAAUGGCAUAAGCCAGCUUGACUGCGAGCGUGACGGCGCGAGCAGGUGCGAAAGCAGGUCAUAGUGAUCCGGUGGUUCUGAAUGGAAGGGCCAUCGCUCAACGGAUAAAAGGUACUCCGGGGAUAACAGGCUGAUACCGCCCAAGAGUUCAUAUCGACGGCGGUGUUUGGCACCUCGAUGUCGGCUCAUCACAUCCUGGGGCUGAAGUAGGUCCCAAGGGUAUGGCUGUUCGCCAUUUAAAGUGGUACGCGAGCUGGGUUUAGAACGUCGUGAGACAGUUCGGUCCCUAUCUGCCGUGGGCGCUGGAGAACUGAGGGGGGCUGCUCCUAGUACGAGAGGACCGGAGUGGACGCAUCACUGGUGUUCGGGUUGUCAUGCCAAUGGCACUGCCCGGUAGCUAAAUGCGGAAGAGAUAAGUGCUGAAAGCAUCUAAGCACGAAACUUGCCCCGAGAUGAGUUCUCCCUGACUCCUUGAGAGUCCUGAAGGAACGUUGAAGACGACGACGUUGAUAGGCCGGGUGUGUAAGCGCAGCGAUGCGUUGAGCUAACCGGUACUAAUGAACCGUGAGGCUUAACCUU
rnacentral:rRNA from 1 species